rnacentral:sRNA from 2 species
CUAUGAUAUUUUUAAGUGUUAAGAACUCUACUACUCCCUUCCACUCGCCCCCAAUUCCAUUAACCUCUUUAAGCUUGCGCUCAAUAUGACAAAUUUUGGAGCGCAGACCAGCCGAUAUAAUCGAUUAGUGAUAGCGUUUGUUGCAUUAGGCUCCUUCGUACGUGAUAGCCCUGCUUGGGAUUCCGACGCCCCAAUGUAUUUUCAAUCCUGGCUCAUGCUAACUAUUCUGCCUCGAAUGUCUUUCUAGACAUAUGGAUACUGUGCCUCUGUCAUAGGCAGCACUAUCGGUCAACCUGGCUGGUACGCUUUUUUUAAUCUCCCAUUACAGGGCGAGCCCGGUUAUACCG